rnacentral:rRNA from 1 species
GGUUGACCUCGGAUCAGGUAGGAGUUACCCGCUGAACUUAAGCAUAUCAAUAAGCGGAGGAAAAGAAACCAACAGGGAUUGCCUCAGUAACGGCGAGUGAAGCGGCACCAGCUCAAAUUUGAAAUCUGGCCCCUCGGGGUCCGAGUUGUAAUUUGCAGAGGAUGCUUCGGGUGCGGUCCCCAUCUAAGUGCCCUGGAACGGGCCGUCA